AUUGAACGCUGGCGGAAUGCUUUACACAUGCAAGUCGAACGGCAGCACGGGUGCUUGCACCUGGUGGCGAGUGGCGAACGGGUGAGUAAUACAUCGGAACGUGCCCAGUAAUGGGGGAUAACACAGCGAAAGCUGUGCUAAUACCGCAUACGCCCUGAGGGGGAAAGCGGGGGAUCGAAAGACCUCGCGUUAUUGGAGCGGCCGAUGCCUGAUUAGCUAGUUGGUAGGGUAAAGGCCUACCAAGGCGACGAUCAGUAGCUGGUCUGAGAGGAUGAUCAGCCACACUGGAACUGAGACACGGUCCAGACUCCUACGGGAGGCAGCAGUGGGGAAUUUUGGACAAUGGGGGAAACCCUGAUCCAGCCAUUCCGCGUGAGUGAAGAAGGCCUUCGGGUUGUAAAGCUCUUUCGGCAGGGAAGAAACGCUCUGGGUUAAUAACCUGGGGUAAUGACGGUACCUGAAGAAGAAGCACCGGCUAACUACGUGCCAGCAGCCGCGGUAA
rnacentral:rRNA from 1 species